UACGGGGGGGGCAAGCGUUGUUCGGAAUUACUGGGCGUAAAGGGCGCGUAGGCGGUUGGAUAAGUCAGCUGUGAAAACCACGGGCUUAACUCGUGGCCUGCAGUUGAGACUGUCUGGCUUGAGUGUGGGGAGAGGAGAGUGGAAUUCCUGGGUGUAAGCGGUGAAAUGCGUAGAUAUCAGGAGGAACACCGGUGGCGAAGGCGGCUCUCUGGACCACAACUGACGCUG
rnacentral:rRNA from 1 species